rnacentral:rRNA from 1 species
UACGGAGGAUGCGAGCGUUAUCCGGAUUUAUUGGGUUUAAAGGGAGCGCAGGCGGCGAGUUAAGUCAGCGGUAAAAUUUCGGGGCUCAACCCCGACAAGCCGUUGAAACUGGCUUGCUAGAGUGGGCGAGAGGUAAGUGGAAUUCCUAGUGUAGCGGUGAAAUGCGUAGAUAUUAGGAGGAACACCAGUGGCGAAGGCGGCUUACUGGACUGUAACUGACGUUGAGGCUCGAAAGCGUGGGGAGCAAACAGG